UAAGAACAAUCAGAAUCCCACACGGCUAU
rnacentral:piRNA from 1 species